UGUCUGUGAGGGUGUUGCCACAGGAGAUUAUCAUUUGUGUCAGUGGACUUGGAAAGGCAGAUUUAUCCUCAAUCUGGGUGGGUACCAUCUAAUCAGAUGCUAGUGUGGCUAGGAUACAAGCAGGGAGAGGAACCUGGAAGUACUAGACUGGCUCAGUCUUCUGGCCUCCACCUUUCUUUCAUGCUAGGUGCUUCCUGCCCUCAAAUGAAGACUCCCAAGUUCUUCAGCUUUUGGACUCUCGGACUUACACCAAUGAUUUGCCAGGGACUAUCAGGUCUUCCGCCCAUAGACUGAAGGCUGCACUAUUGGCUUUCCUACUGAUGAGGUUGUGGGACUUGCACUGGCUUCCUGGCUCCUCAGCUUGCAGAUGGCCUAUUGUGAGACUUCACGUUGUGAUUGUAUGACCAGGAUAGAGACCACCUUCUGUGCAAUCUUGGAAGCCAUGGGGUAAAGCCACACAAUGGAAGGAUCCUGGAUCCCUGAGUCACUACUUGGAGAAGAGCCACUCUACCAGAAAUGUCCACACAGGAAUACAAUAUGAAUAAGAAAAACCCCAUGGACUUCAGUGAAUUUUGACAGCCAUAAACUGGAAGAGAACAUUUGAAACUAUGGAGGGCAGAUAAUAUUUUUGCACCGCUGACCAUAACAAUUAUUGUCAACACAUAUAGAAUUCUUUUAGAUUUGUUGGUAAGUGUGCCUAGAGUCCAAUCAAUUAUACUCUCUUUAUUAACUUGUGUAUUUGUACCAUCUCACUGAUCUGUAGUGCCCUACUUUAAAAAGUCAUUUUAAAAAAUUUUCAUUUGAAAGCAUUCUCUUAUUUUCCAGGAGUUUAAGAGUAAGCCUCUUAGAUACUGAUCUGCCUGCAGUUUGGCAAACAAAGUUAUCCGUCAGGAUAGUCCAAUUUUUUCAUUUCCCUUGUUAUAUCUUAAAUCAAUUCAGUUA